rnacentral:rRNA from 1 species
GGGUUGUGAGGUUAAGCGACUAAGCGUACACGGUGGAUGCCCUGGCAGUCAGAGGCGAUGAAGGGCGUGCUAAUCUGCGAUAAGCGCCGGUAAGGUGAUAUGAACCGUUAUAACCGGCGAUACCCGAAUGGGGAAACCCAGUGUGACUCGUCACACUAUCAUUAACUGAAUCCAUAGGUUAAUGAGGCGAACCGGGGGAACUGAAACAUCUAAGUACCCCGAGGAAAAGAAAUCAACCGAGAUUCCCCCAGUAGCGGCGAGCGAACGGGGAGGAGCCCAGAGCCUGAAUCAGCAUGUGUGUUAGUGGAAGCGUCUGGAAAGGCGCGCGAUACAGGGUGACAGCCCCGUACACAAAAGCGCAUGUGCUGUGAGCUCGAUGAGUAGGGCGGGACACGUGGUAUCCUGUCUGAAUAUGGGGGGACCAUCCUCCAAGGCUAAAUACUCCUGACUGACCGAUAGUGAACCAGUACCGUGAGGGAAAGGCGAAAAGAACCCCGGCGAGGGGAGUGAAAAAGAACCUGAAACCGUGUACGUACAAGCAGUGGGAGCACCCUUUGGGUGUGACUGCGUACCUUUUGUAUAAUGGGUCAGCGACUUAUAUUCUGUAGCAAGGUUAACCGAAUAGGGGAGCCGGAGGGAAACCGAGU